CCUACGGGGGGCAGCAGUCGAGAAUCAUUCACAAUGGGGGAAACCCUGAUGGUGCGACGCCGCGUGGGGGAAUGAAGGUCUUCGGAUUGUAAACCCCUGUCAUGUGGGAGCAAAUUAAAAAGAUAGUACCACAAGAGGAAGAGACGGCUAACUCUGUGCCAGCAGCCGCGGUAAUACAGAGGUCUCAAGCGUUGUUCGGAAUCACUGGGCGUAAAGCGUGCGUAGGCUGUUUCGUAAGUCGUGUGUGAAAGGCGCGGGCGCAACCCGCGGACGGCACAUGAUACUGCGAGACUAGAGUAAUGGAGGGGGAACCGGAAUUCGCGGUGUAGCAGUGAAAUGCGUAGAUAUCGAGAGGAACACUGGUGGCGAAGGCGGGUUCCUGGACAUUAACUGACGCUGAGGCACGAAGGCCAGGGGAGCGAAAGGGAUUAGAUACCCCUGUAGUC
rnacentral:rRNA from 1 species